rnacentral:pre_miRNA from 1 species
CUUGUACUCCCUCCGUCCGAAAAUACUUGUCAUUGAAAUGGAUGUAUCUAGAUGUAUUUUAGCUCUAGACACAUCCAUUUUGAUGACAAGUAAUUCUGGACGGAGGGAGUACUUG